rnacentral:rRNA from 1 species
UACGUAGGGUGCAAGCGUUGUCCGGAAUUAUUGGGCGUAAAGAGCUUGUAGGCGGUUUGUCGCGUCUGCUGUGAAAUUUCGGGGCUCAACCCCGAACUUGCAGUGGGUACGGGCAGACUAGAGUGUGGUAGGGGAGACUGGAAUUCCUGGUGUAGCGGUGAAAUGCGCAGAUAUCAGGAGGAACACCGAUGGCGAAGGCAGGUCUCUGGGCCACUACUGACGCUGAGAGCGAAAGCUGGGGAGCAACGGG